ensembl:lncRNA
CCCGUCUCACCCAUUUCUAAAGAAGAUUUCUUAACGCUGUCACCAGUGACUCCUAAACAUCACCACUAAAGGAUCUCUUUAUCAGCCCAAUCCCACAGGCUUCUGAAGGAGGAAGUCAUACCAGCAACGGGAAAGAACCCUAACACAUGGAGAGGGAAGUGAUGAAAUUAAAAAAAAAAAAAAUUCAGCUGUUGGGUAAUGCUGCUACAGGGAUUCCUGGCAACAAUUAAGCACAGCUACAGAAGUCAGACUCACUGCAGGCUUGAGGAAGAGGGAUAGCUCACUAUUCGCUCUGAUGAUGAGAAUGAGUUGCAGAACCAGGAGAACUUCCUCUUCUAGUCCUGGAGUGAGAUGAUGAGGUAUAUCCAUCUAAGUUCUUAAAGUGACCUGAGCUAUUCAAUUGCUUCAUUUUCAAGAAUGUGUCAUUUUAAAUAAUACCUAUUUCAGAAAUUCCGUGCCUUUUGUUUUGCAUUUAAUUUCACUUUCUGUGGCAGUAGAAUCUGACAUAAAUUGAAUAAUAUAUUUUUUUAAAGGAGUAAAUCACCCACCGUUUCUUG